rnacentral:lncRNA from 1 species
CUGCAGCGGGAGCGGGCACGGGCGCUCCGGCGGAUUCGCAGGGGUUUGAGGCUCCAUGGCGCCUACGUCUCCAUGCCGGCCUGAGACCCGCCGACGCCGUGGUCCACUGAUCCAGUGGAGCGACUUGGACGACGAAAAGGACGAAACGAGAGAAAGCACUGGCGCUGGUGGCUCGUCAGAUCAUGGCGACGGGUCGCGACCAGACGAGGGCCGGAAGACCCGGCAAGGCGCGUUGCAGAAAAUCGAGAAUUCCAGAGAGAACCGUCCGACAGGGAAGGACCUCGGAAGAGGAGGCUUCAGCCUAGAAAGGGUACGCCUGCAGCAGGUUGCGCACGCCAAACGACAGGAAUGGAUAAGCAGGUGCUUGGAGAGCCGGAAUCGCGGACCAAAGAACUGUGUUUGGACGUUCGCUACCGGCGCGUCUCGCACACGACCUCGAAGCGCACUGAACAGCUGCGUGUUGUCGCCGCAGAUGCAAAACAGUGGUAACAGUAUGCCCAGACGUGAAAGACAUGCGAAGAGUCUCGAUCCAGUUUGAACUAGAGGCGCAUCGGGAGGCGUGUCCCAUCAAGUUUGUCUACCGCCUGGAAUUCCAGCGCGAGGUCACUUGCUGUCUUUCCGCGAGACAGACGAAGGAGGCCAGGAGUAGUGGCAAGCACGGAACCGGUUAUUCACGCGUAGAGUGGAUCCCCUCCAAUGACAGCGAAGACUUGCUGUCUCACCGUGAUUACCGGCUGAGUGACGAAGGCGAGGACGCCUGCUACAGAAGAGAGGCAGAAUCCUCGGAAACACAGACAUAAAAAGCCGGCCUGUGCCUCCUCGGGGAAAACUGGAGCUCAGAAGACUCUCUUUCUCAUCCGGGGGAAGAAACUCCGGGCAAACAGGCUCUCGCUAGCCUCCAGUUUCGUGCCGCAAGCAAGGCUGCGCCAAAAAUCCAGAAGGCCCGGCGCUUGAGGGGCUGCGCCGUCGAGAGUGCACGCAGCGUGUGCGUGAGCAAAGAGUGGCGAAUACCCGGCCUCGCGCGGCCAGGCUCACGGGUAAACCAGGGCGAAAAAAGGCCGAGGUGUGGUGUGGAGGUGAAACAACUGGAUGUAAAAAAACGCGGUCACAUGAUAAAACCGAAAGGGGAUAUUUCAGUCAGUGUUGGAAUCAGCAACCGAAAGUGCAGCGGAUGUGUACACCGUAUUCAACUGAGGUUUUCUAUUCGAGUCUCCACUCAUGAAACUCGACAGAAAAAGGGUAUUUUUGGGAUAAGCGGUGCGUUAAAAUAGCCGCUUCUCAAAAGGAACUUUUUUUUUGGAAGAAGGCCGCUAGACAUGUCAGAGAGCAUGCAAAGAAGAACCUCCGCAUGCAGUCAGAGGUCCAUCGAAAAACGUCCCUUGCACUGAAGUGACACUGCC